rfam:Picea glauca, whole genome shotgun sequence.
CAUAAGGAUUUUCUCAAAUCCAUUUAUCUUUAUCUUUUGGUGAAUG